GACGAACGCUGGCGGCGUGCCUAAUACAUGCAAGUAGAACGCUGAAGAGAGGAGCUUGCUCUUCUUGGAUGAGUUGCGAACGGGUGAGUAACGCGUAGGUAACCUGCCUUGUAGCGGGGGAUAACUAUUGGAAACGAUAGCUAAUACCGCAUAACAAUGGAUGACACAUGUCAUUUAUUUGAAAGGGGCAAUUGCUCCACUACAAGAUGGACCUGCGUUGUAUUAGCUAGUAGGUGAGGUAACGGCUCACCUAGGCGACGAUACAUAGCCGACCUGAGAGGGUGGUCGGCCACACUGGGACUGAGACACGGCCCAGACUCCUACGGGAGGCAGCAGUAGGGAAUCUUCGGCAAUGGGGGCAACCCUGACCGAGCAACGCCGCGUGAGUGAAGAAGGUUUUCGGAUCGUAAAGCUCUGUUGUAAGUCAAGAACGAGUGUGAGAGUGGAAAGUUCACACUGUGACGGUAGCUUACCAGAAAGGGCG
rnacentral:rRNA from 1 species